rnacentral:rRNA from 1 species
AGUCGAACGAGAAAGCCCUUCGGGGUUAGUAGAGUGGCGAACGGGUGAGUAACACGUGGGCAACCUGCCCCUCGCAGGGGGAUAACCGGAGGAAACUCCGGCUAAUACCCCGUAAGCUUCGGUGGUCGCAUGGCCUCCGGAGGAAAGGUAGCUUCGGCCAUCCGGCGAGGGAUGGGCCCGCGGUGCAUUAGCUAGUUGGUGGGGUAAAGGCCCACCAAGGCGACGAUGCGUAGCUGGUCUGAGAGGAUGAUCAGCCACACUGGGACUGAGACACGGCCCAGACUCCUACGGGAGGCAGCAGCCAGGAAUCUUGGGCAAUGGGCGAAAGCCUGACCCAGCAACACCGUGUGGGCGAUGAAGGCCUUCGGGUCGUAAAGCCCUGUUGAUAGGGACGAAGGGCGAAGGGUUAAUAGCCCCUAGCCUGACGGUACCUUUCGAGGAAGCCCCGGCUAACUACGUGCCAGCAGCCGCGGUAAUACGUAGGGGGCGAGCGUUGUCCGGAAUUAUUGGGCGUAAAGAGCGUGUAGGCGGUUCGGUAAGUCUGCCGUGAAAACCUGAGGCUCAACCUCGGGCGUGCGGUGGAUACUGCCGGGCUAGAGGACGGUAGAGGCGAGUGGAAUUCCCGGUGUAGCGGUGAAAUGCGCAGAUAUCGGGAGGAACACCAGUAGCGAAGGCGGCUCGCUGGGCCGUUCCUGACGCUGAGACGCGAAAGCUAGGGGAGCGAACAGGAUUAGAUACCCUGGUAGUCCUAGCCGUAAACGAUGGACACUAGGUGUGGGGGGAGUCGAAUCCCUCUGUGCCGCAUUUAACGCGUUAAGUG